UGGACGGCCGGGCCGGGCCGGGCCGGGCGGAGCGUGAAGCCGGGUUAGGGCCCGCCGGGUUUGGGCCCACCGGCUCUCAUCGGUCAUCAAGAACUUGCAGAAAGCCGGGCACGGUGGCUCGCGGUUGUAAUCCCAACACUGUGGGAGUCCAAGGCGCGAAGAUCGCUUGAGCCGAGGAGUUAGAGACCAACUUGGGCAACGUAGGAGACCUCCGUCUCCACAAGUAAAAUUAAUUAGCCGGCUGUGGUGGCGCGCACCUGUGGUCCCAGCUACUCAGGAGGCUGAGGUGUCAGUUGCGGAGCUGGUAUUGUACAUGUCCUCGCAUUUGGCCCUCCUGAAAAUCCGAGCUCUGGCCCAACUAGAGACGCUGCCCGGACCACUCUGGGGGGACUUUGAUCAUGCUACUGCAUGCCCUUGCUGUACCCAGGUCUUGUGUCAGAGAGAGGAGAUGAUGUGUCCAAGGUCACUCUGAGAACUGAACAGAGGGCCGCCUUCUGGGACCCAAGACUCCAGGUUCCAGCCCACUGCCCAGCUGCCUCACCCUGUCAUGAGCACAAUAAAGGAGUUUCAUGAUUAUGUGGAUGUGUCUUUGCAAUCACUCACACUGAGGAUCAUGCUUAUCAUGAAUUAGCCAUUAGUGAUAGCAGCUGGCAACAUCUUAAAGUGGAAAGAGCUGCUUCAGGGCCAGACUCCUUUUAUUCAAAUCCUGGCUCUGACACAAGCAGUACCUCUGUGGCUGGGAGAAUUAACUUCACCUCAGGGAACCUCGAAUUAGGAGUCAGGUUCCAAGAUGCAAACAACACCAACAGCUGUGGGUUUUGAAAACAAUAAAAUUGGAGG
rnacentral:lncRNA from 10 species